rnacentral:misc_RNA from 1 species
UAACUUUACGUUGUAGCUCCCUUUCUCGAAAGAGAACCGUUGCUACAAUAAGGCCGUCUGAAAAGAUGUGCCGCAACGCUCUGCCCCUUAAAGCUCCUGCUUUAAGGGGCAUCGUUU